rnacentral:rRNA from 1 species
AUGCUUUCAUAUCCUGCUAGGAUUGAAUUGAUUCGUUCAGCUUUCUUUGCUAUUCCAGUUUAUUAUAUGGCUAACAUCUUGUUCACUAAGAAAUUCAUUGCUAAGCUUACUACUGUCAUUAGGAACUUUUGGUGGAUAGGUGUUCGAGAGAAUGAUUCUAAAAAGAGUCUUUGUCUUAGAGCAUGGAAGGAUAUUUGCAAUCCUAAAGAAGAAGGUGGUCUGGGCAUUAGGAAUUUAAAGGCUAUCAACGAGAGUCUUCUUCUUGCUGCUGCUUGGAGGAUAGCCAAAUCCCCUUCUUCUCACUUGUACUUAGUGCUCAAGGCUAAGUAUUUUCAUGACUCUUCUAUUUGGACUGCUAAUGUUUCUCCUCCUAAAUCAUCUUUCUGGACUUCUAUUUUGAAAAUGUUAGCUAAACUGAAAGCUCAUUCUUUUUAUCAAUUAACUCAAGGUAAUAUUUCAAUUUGGAGCACAUCUUGGUGCACUCUCUGGAACUCCAUUCAUGAUCACCUUAUUACUCAAGAACCUGGUUUAGAUAUCCUUCUUUAG